rnacentral:rRNA from 1 species
GAAACCAACUGGGAUUGCCUUAGUAACGGCGAGUGAAGCGGCAAAAGCUCAAAUUUGAAAUCUGGUACCUUUGGUGCCCGAGUUGUAAUUUGGAGAGUACCACUUUGGGACUGUACUUUGCCUAUGUUCCUUGGAACAGGACGUCAUGGAGGGUGAGAAUCCCGUGUGGCGAGGGUGUCAGUUCUUUGUAAAGGGUGCUCGAAGAGUCGAGUUGUUUGGGAAUGCAGCUCUAAGUGGGUGGUAAAUUCCAUCUAAAGCUAAAUACAGGCGAGAGACCGAUAGCGAACAAGUACAGUGAUGGAAAGAUGAAAAGAACUUUGAAAAGAGAGUGAAAAAGUACGUGAAAUUGUUGAAAGGGAAGGGCAUUUGAUCAGACAUGGUGUUUUGCGCCCCUUGCCUCUCGUGGGCUUGGGACUCUCGCAGCUCACUGGGCCAGCAUCGGUUUUGGCGGCCGGAAAAAACCUAGGGAAUGUGGCUCUGCGCCUCGGUGUAGAGUGUUAUAGCCCUGGGGAAUACGG